GUAGCCUUUCAGGUUUAUCAAUGCAUGUUGGGAUCUUCCAGCAGAAGAAAGUAAGUCACAGGCAUUGAGAAGUCAAAAGAGUACUAGAAAGUACUUUCUGCUCUGAAUUCGGCAAACUUCAUUGUGCCAUGGAAAGCUGGGGAACAGCAGCACAGUUAGAGGAUCAAAAUAAUAUUGGCAAAGGUGGGAAUGGCGUUUUGAAAAGUAUUUAAGCACAGUUGCUUCUUUCGAACAGGUGACAUGUCAAAAAAUUUUGGUAAGUAAAAACAAUUAAUUUCUGCAGUGCGCUCCCAUAACUGCACAUCUUUGUGCAGUGA
rnacentral:lncRNA from 1 species